UUAAAACACCAGUUCUCAUGUGAUCACCAAAGUUAAGCAACAUCAAGCCUGGAUAGUACCUAGAUGGGUGACCACUUGGGAAUACCAGGUGCUAC